AAAUUGAAGAGUUUGAUCAUGGCUCAGAUUGAACGCUGGCGGCAGGCCUAACACAUGCAAGUCGAACGGUAACAGGAAGCAGCUUGCUGCUUUGCUGACGAGUGGCGGACGGGUGAGUAAUGUCUGGGAAACUGCCCGAUGGAGGGGGAUAACUACUGGAAACGGUAGCUAAUACCGCAUAACGUCGCAAGACCAAAGAGGGGGACCUUAGGGCCUCUUGCCAUCGGAUGUGCCCAGAUGGGAUUAGCUAGUAGGUGGGGUAAUGGCUCACCUAGGCGACGAUCCCUAGCUGGUCUGAGAGGAUGACCAGCCACACUGGAACUGAGACACGGUCCAGACUCCUACGGGAGGCAGCA
rnacentral:rRNA from 1 species